AGGCGACGACGGGUAGCCGGCCUGAGAGGGUGACCGGCCACACUGGGACUGAGACACGGCCCAGACUCCUACGGGAGGCAGCAGUGGGGAAUAUUGCACAAUGGGCGAAAGCCUGAUGCAGCGACGCCGCGUGAGGGAUGACGGCCUUCGGGUUGUAAACCUCUUUCAGCUCUGACGAAGCCUUCGGGUGACGGUAGGAGCAGAAGAAGCACCGGCUAACUACGUGCCAGCAGCCGCGGUAAUACGUAGGGUGCGAGCGUUGUCCGGAAUUAUUGGGCGUAAAGAGCUUGUAGGCGGUUUGUCGCGUCUGCUGUGAAAGCCCGGGGCUUAACCCCGGGUCUGCAGUGGGUACGGGCAGGCUAGAGUGUGGUAGGGGAGACUGGAAUUCCUGGUGUAGCGGUGGAAUGCGCAGAUAUCAGGAGGAACACCGAUGGCGAAGGCAGGUCUCUGGGCCACUACUGACGCUGAGAAGCGAAAGCGUGGGGAGCGAACAGGAUUAGAUACCCUGGUAGUCCACGCCGUAAACGUUGGGCGCUAGGUGUGGGUCCCAUUCCACGGGGUCCGUGCCGCAGCUAACGCAUUAAGCGCCCCGCCUGGGGAGUACGG
rnacentral:rRNA from 1 species